rnacentral:rRNA from 1 species
UACAGAGGGGUCAAGCGUUGUUCGGAAUUACUGGGCGUAAAGGGCGCGUAGGCGGCCUGUUAAGUCAGACGUGAAAUCCCUCGGCUCAACCGGGGAACUGCGUCUGAUACUGGCGGGCUUGAAUUCGGGAGAGGGAUGUGGAAUUCCAGGUGUAGCGGUGAAAUGCGUAGAUAUCUGGAGGAACACCGGUGGCGAAGGCGGCAUCCUGGACCGACAUUGACGCUGAGGCGCGAAAGCCAGGGGAGCAAACGGG